AAGUCUGACGGAGCGAGCCAGGUGAGUGAAGAAGGUUUUCGGAUCGUAAAACUAUCCUGAGAGGGAAGAACAAGUGCCGUUCGAAUAGGGCGGCACCUUGACGGUACCUAACCAGAAAGCCACGGCUAACAACGUGCCAGCAGCCGCGUUAAUACGUAGGUGGCAAGCGUUGUCCGGAAUUAUUGGGCGUAAAGCGCGCGCAGGUGGUUUCUUAAGUCUGAUGUGAAAGCCCACGGCUCAACCGUGGAGGGUCAUUGGAAACUGGGGAACUUGAGUGCAGAAGAGGAAAGUGGAAUUCCAAGUGUAGCGGUGAAAUGCGUAGAUAUUUGGAGGAACACCAGUGGCGAAGGCGACUUUCUGGUCUGUAACUGACACUGAGGCGCGAAAGCGCGGGAAGCAAACAGGAUUAGAUACCCUGGUAGUCCACGCCGUAAACGAUGAGUGCUAAGUGUUCAGAGGAUGUCACCCUUUAGUGCUGCAGCUAACGCAUUAAGCACUCCGCCUGGGGAGUACGGUCGCAAGACUGAAACUCAAAGGAAUUGACGGGGGCCCGCACAAGCGGUGGAGCAUGUGGUUUAAUUCGAAGCAACGCGAAGAACCUUACCAGGUCUUGACAUCCUCUGACAACCCUAGAGAUAGGGCUUUCCCCUUCGGGGGACAGAGUGACAGGUGGUGCACGGUUGUCGUCAGCUCGUGUCGUGAGAGGUUAGGUUAAGUCCCGCAACGAGCGCAACCCUUGAUCUUAUUUGC
rnacentral:rRNA from 1 species